rnacentral:lncRNA from 1 species
GGAAAGAAGUGGGUGGUGUUGGCUCUGCACAUUGGAGGAAGAAAUGCACAGAGCCAGAGAAGACUUGAGCAGGGCUGGAGGCUGACAGGAAGGAGUUACUGCAGCUGGGAGAGAGGAAUGGGCUUACUGAUGGAGCACCAACCUGCUGGAGGUCAACCGUCAACUGCUGAAUCCAUAACAGUCGGGUUCUCUGUUGCCAGAGAGGUUUUAGCUUUGGAAAGAAAUGGGGCACUGUGUUCUCAGAAACAGCAGAGGGGGCUAAGAAGAAAGAGUGUGUUUUGAGGGGAGAACAGGGAAAUCGAGAGUGAAACUGUCCUUCCCACCAUCUCUUAGAGUGAGAGAGCCAGGUAGGGCUGUUGUCCUUAGACAGUGUAAAAGUUUUGAAAAGGCAGCAGAAAGUCAAAAGAGAUGACCCCAAGGAAAUGAGGAAGGCGAGUGUUAUCAUCUGUGGACUGACUACAAUUCACUCACAGCAAUAGCUAAUAUUGGAGUUCUUAUUUUUUCUAGGUGCUUGAACACAGAACAUCUCACUUAACUCUUAGCACAAUCCUUAAGAGCCAAAUGUGUGAUCCCCCUCCAGAAAAGACUUGAGUCUUUACAGUUGGAAUUUCCGUGUCGUGAGUGACAGGAUCUUGGUCCAUCACCCAGGCUGGAAUACAGUGGUGCAAUUAUAGUUCACUGCGGCCUCAAAUUCCUGCACUCAACAGAUCCUCCCACCUCAGCCUCGCAACUGGCUGGGACUACAGGGAUGCACCACCACACCUGGCUAAUUUUUAACUCUUUCGUAGGAAUGAGGUCUUGCUGUGUUGCCCAGGCUGGUCUCGAACUCUGGGGGUCAAGAGAUCCUCCCAUCUCGGCCUUCCAAAGUGUUGGGAUUACAGGCACGCACCACCACACCUGGCUACAUGCCUAAUUUAACAUGAGCUAGAGUUAGGUUUGGCCAUCCCUAGUGUUCAGUGGAGUUGUAGAGUUAGUCUCAAAUGCCAGAGUGAAAGUCCUUGCCUAUCACUCCCUCAUGGGGUAACCAUGGUGGAGCUGCCCAAUUUCCUCAUCUCAGAAGUGAAUAUAAUAGCUUCUACCUCAUAGGGUUGUUGUGAGAAUUGCAUGAGGAAACCAUGGAAAGGAAUUCAUAGAGUACUUAGAAAGGCAGUAAGUACAGGGACAGAUUUGGGUUUCAUGGGACUUGAAGACUACACAACUUCGGAAGCCCUCUUUAAUGAAAAGAAGAUAAAUCUUACUUUUGCAAGUUUUAUAUGAAUAUGUGACUAUGUGAACACAUUGCUCAGGUCCUCCCCUCGCCCGCACACAAGGUCUAGAAAAAGGCUUAUUAAAGUGAGACAUCCUGAAGCUUAAGCGUCACCAGCUUCAAGUUCAACCCACCUCUGAAUAAA